rnacentral:rRNA from 1 species
GAUGAACGCUAGCGACAGGCUUAACACAUGCAAGUCGAGGGGCAGCAUGAACUUAGCUUGCUAAGUUUGAUGGCGACCGGCGCACGGGUGAGUAACGCGUAUGCAACUUACCUAUCAGAGGAGAAUAGCUCAUCGAAAGAUGAAUCAAUGCUCCAUAAAACAGGGGUCCCGCAUGGGAAUAUUUGUCAAAGAUUCAUCGCUGACAGAUAGGCAUGCGUUCCAUUAGGCAGUUGGCGGGGUAACGGCCCACCAAAGCGACGAUGGAUAGGGGUUCUGAGAGGAAGGUCCCCCACAUGGGUAAUGAGACACGGACCAAACGCCUACGGGAGGCAGCAGUUAGGAAUAUUAGUAGAUGGCCGAGAGGCUGAACCAGCCAAGUCGCGUGAAGGAAGAAUGAUCUAUGGUAUGUAGACUUCUUUUAUACGGGAAGAAAGUGUGGAACGCGUUUCAUUUUGGAUGUACCGUAUUAAAAAGCCACGGCUAACUCCGUG